CUGACCUCCCUCCCUCAGUCAUCUGAUGGCAGAGCAUUCCCGAGGAAUGAGCUCCGAGAGGCGAGGUGUCUUGUUUAGGUGACACUGCUAAAACGCGGAGGACCUGAGACCAGCACCCAGGCCUCCUGACUGACCUGCAGGGAUGACCUUCUGCACAAGUGCGGAGGGGCCAGUCAGCUUCUGAUGGUGAUGGGGAGGAGGAGGAAGAGAACACGAGGCCGACGAGAGGAAUAAAUCUGCCAUUUAUCAAGACCACAGGUACUGACCCUUUUAAUGCAAAAGAGCCAUUCAUAUCCACAUCUUACACAUUAGGACUUUGGAAACACUGAAUUAUGACUCAAUCAGGGUUACUAAAGAGAACACUCAGGCUCUCUAAAGAGGAGAGAGGGGAGAGGGAGAAGUGAAGGAAGGAGGAAGGAUUUGUUUGUUUGUUUGUUUUAAGGGCGUCCAGGUUCAUUUAAGCCUCUUGACCACCCUGCAAGGCUGGUGGGGUUUCCACUUUACAGAAGAGUCUGGGAGUUCAGGUCUGUCCAACCUGAAAUCCUGCUCAUUUCCCCCAGCACCUCCAAUGUCACUUCUUGAACUGUGUCUCUGCCAAUGGCAAUGAGAGAAGAGCCCAGCUACAGGGUUCCAGGUGCCAAGCGCUACUCCUCUCACACUGUCACCCAAGGUGGCCGGAGGGGCCAGAAACACAGGGAUGAGAAGGCAAAGAGCUGCCCAGGGAACAGAACCAGCUUCUGGAAGCUGUGGUCCUGGAGGGCAGGGUCCUGGGCCCCCAUCCUUGAGAUAGGGAGGGGUGGUCAGACAGACAGCGUGGGAAAUAGAAGUGUCUUAUGUCACAUGCUCAGGUUGCCAUGACAAAUUACCAUAGACUGAGAGGAGUGUAGUUCUCACAGUUACGGAGCUGAAAGUCCAAGACGGAGGUGCUGUCUGGUUUAGUCUCUGGGAAGGGCUCACAUCCUGGUCUGCCACAUUCUUGCUGCGUCCCUAUACAACCUGUCCCUGGUACCCAUGCAUGUGCCUAGAGAGGGGCAGAUUUAUCUCUUCUCUUCAAAGACCACCAAUCCCAUGGGGUUAGGAGCCUACCCUUAUUACUCAUUUAACCUUAAUUACCUCUUGUUCUCAUUUUCUUAGUUUUUUUUUUUUUUUGAACCAGGGAUUGAACCCAGGGGCACUUAACCACGAAGCCACACCCCCAGCCCUUUUUAUUUUUAUUUUGAGACAGAGUCUUGCUAGGUUCCUUAGGGCCUUGUUAAAUUGAUGAGGCUGGCCUUAAAUUUGGGGGAUCCUCCUGCCUCAGCCUCCUGAGUCACUAGCAUUACAGGCGUGAGUCACUGUGCCCAGCGUCUUGAAUCUUGAUUGUCCCCCAGAGACCCAUGUGUUAAAGGCUUCAUCCCAUCACAAGUGGUGCUGGUGAAAGUUGGUGGAUCCUUUAAAGAUGGGGGGCCAAGUGGGAGGUCUGUAGGUAACAUGGAGUGUGCCCCUGCAGGGGAUUGCAGAACCCUUUCCCUCCCCACUCUUUUCUGCUUCCUAGCUAGGUCCUGCUCUGUCAUGGUCUCCUGUCAUGACGUGCUGCCUCGCCCUAGUCCCCAAGCAGGCAGGCCAACUGGUCACAAACUGGAACCUGGAAACCUGUGAGCCAAAGUAAACCUUUUCCCUUUAUAAGUUGAUUAUCUCAGGCAUUUGCUUUAGCAACACAAAGCUGACCAAUGAGUUUCCUAAAGCCCCGUCUCCAGAUACAGUUGUGCUAGGGGUUAGUAUGCCUACGUAUUAAAUUGGGAAGGGGAACAUUUUAGGUCAUAGCUUUAGUUUAUCUUGACCCUCAGGAGUUUGCAAGGAUAAAGGGCACCAGUGGUCCAGCUACUUGGGUGGUUGAGGCAGAGGGAUUACAAAUUUGAGACCAGCCAUAUCUUAAAAAAAAAAAAAUUAAAAGCGCUUGGGAUGUAGCUCAGUAGUAGAGUAACCCUAGGUUCAGUUCCUAGUACUGUGGAGGGAAAAAAGUGGACCAGAGGGUACAUUCAGAACCUGCCUCUGAGUCACACUGCCGGGAUAAGCCACCGGCCACAGCAUCUAUACCAGGCGCAGCCACGCACAUGGCGUGCCCCAGGGAUAAACAAAUUGACCUAAUGAUCCAAUUUCCCUGAUCCAGCUAAUGAUUCGAGGUAGCAUCUAGCGAUUCCGCUGCCUGGCAGAUCAUGAUAACCCCAACUUUCCCCUUUUCAGGUACCUCUUGGUUUCUCACUGAGGAUACUUCUGGGAAUUUCCUGGUCAUUUCCUCUGCCUGUGAGCUUCUGGGGUCAGGAGAAGGUGGGCAACAGAACUGGUGCUUCUGGUAGGAGUGAGUGGCGCCUACUCUAAUCUUGGCAGCCACAUUUCUUCACUCUAAUUACAAAUAAAACUACGUGAUGGAAUCCAAAGAGGACCUGGAAACAAGCUGGCUUUCUACUUCCUCAAACAUUCUGGGGCAGGAUGUAUGAGCUGCAGCCACACUCCUCGGAAAGAGUCUCCUUAGUAGGAUACACACUCAAGUUCAUUCAAGUACCACAACUGAUUAAAAAAAACAAAACAAAACAAAAAAACCCACAGUAUUUCUUCUAGUGCCUGCAGAGGCCCAGCACAAAGACAGAGUCUGGCUUUAAUUCAUCCUUCUAUGAGCCUAUGUGGCCCUCUCCCCAAUAUGUGGAUUUUGCGGGUGGUCGCAGCAUUGAGGACAAUUAUUAAGGACAAUGUGUAUGGUGCAUAUGUAGUCAUGUUGCCCUGUGCCUGGGAGAAGUGUGCUCA
rnacentral:lncRNA from 1 species